rnacentral:rRNA from 1 species
GGUGGUUUGUCGCGUUGUUCGUGAAAACUCACAGCUCAACUGUGGGCGUGCGGGCGAUACGGGCAGACUUGAGUACUGCAGGGGAGACUGGAAUUCCUGGUGUAGCGGUGGAAUGCGCAGAUAUCAGGAGGAACACCGGUGGCGAAGGCGGGUCUCUGGGCAGUAACUGACGCUGAGGGGCGAAAGCGUGGGGAGCGAACAGGAUUAGAUACCCUGGUAGUCCACGACGUAAACGGUGGGUACUAGGUGUGGGUUUCCUUCCUUGGGAUCCGUGCCGUAGCUAACGCAUUAAGUACCCCGCCUGGGGAGUACGGCCGCAAGGCUAAAACUCAAAGAAAUUGACGGGGGCCCGCACAAGCGGCGGAGCAUGUGGAUUAAUUCGAUGCAACCCGAAGAACCUUACCUGGGUCUGACAUGCACAGGACGUGCCUAGAGAUAGGUAUUCCCUUGUGGCCUGUGUGCAGGUGGUG